GUCAAAUAUUUUUUACAUUUUGAUUAUGUUUUCUAAAUAGCUGCAACACUGCGAGAAAACAUUGGUAAACCUUUCACUGGUGUAUUUUAUUUUGAAAAGUUCUGCUAACAAUUUAAUGCCACAAUCUUGCAAAUCGAUUAUUGGCUAAUUCGGCGUUUUUUUCCAUAGCAUUGGACACAUUGGUGGCGCGAUAUUAGAGAAACACUUAUGUUGGCCGAUAAGUCAGUUUACUAAAUCUUAGGUUACAUAAACCAUAUUUCUAUGGAUAAAAUUGACAAUCAUUGACCAUUCA